rnacentral:rRNA from 1 species
AGGAAUAUUGGUCAAUGGACGCAAGUCUGAACCAGCCAUGUCGCGUGGAGGAUGAAGGUCCUCUGGAUUGUAAACUUCUUUUAUCUGGGACGAAACACUUCUUUUCUAAGAGGCCUGACGGUACCAGAUGAAUAAGCACCGGCUAACUCCGUGCCAGCAGCCGCGGUAAUACGGAGGGUGCAAGCGUUAUCCGGAUUCACUGGGUUUAAAGGGUGCGUAGGUGGGUAUGUAAGUCAGUGGUGAAAUCCCCGAGCUUAACUUGGGAACUGCCAUUGAUACUAUAUAUCUUGAAUACCGUAGAGUUAAGCGGAAUAUGUCAUGUAGCGGUGAAAUGCUUAGAUAUGACAUGGAACACCAAUUGCGAAGGCAGCUUACUAUGCGGUGAUUGACACUGAGGCACGAAAGCGUGGGUAGCAAAC